ACUCUCCACAGCACAUCUCCCAGGACUGACUUCUUAUUAACUAACUGAAAAAUAUGUGUUUCCACCCGAGGUCCUGGAUGUCCCCACGUUAUAGGACAACCAUCAGGAUUUUCCUCUGAUUUGAGUGUAGACCAAAGGGACAGCCUAACAGAGACAAACUGCCUAUUAGCUUCAAUAUCCACACCAGGAAUGGACAGUCAACCUGCUCUGAAUCCCAUGGCCUGGCCCUGACAUGAAGCCUUCCACCAUCGGCUCUUGCUUCCUUAUC
rnacentral:lncRNA from 1 species